rfam:Beggiatoa sp. PS contig20901_1985-1986, whole genome shotgun sequence.
UAAGUCCCUGUCGGACAAGGUCUAACCAACCUUCCGUAUCGAGUGUUGCGUGUUUGUAGGCAGCGAUUAUAUCACUUCACUGCUAACACGAAGCGUACACAGAGAAAUUAAUAG